rnacentral:rRNA from 1 species
UACAUGGGGUGCAAACGUUGCUCGGAAUUAUUGGGCGUAAAGCGCACGUAGGCGGUUUGUUAAGUCGGAUGUGAAAUCCCUCGGCUCAAACUGAGGAAGUGCAUCCGAAACUGGCAAGCUUGAGUACGAAAGAGGGUCGCGGAAUUCCCGGUGUAGGAGGUGAAAUUCGUAGAUAUCGGGAGGAACACCGGUGGCGAAGGCGGCGACCUGGGUCGAUACUGACGCUGAGGCGCGAAAGCGUGGGGAGCGAACAGGAUUAGAAACCCUU